GAAACUACAAGGCUAUUCAUUUCCUCCUCGUCUAUAAAGUUGAAAACAGCCUAGCUUUCUGUUCCAGGAGGCAUGGAUCCACAUAACCUGUUGCAUUCACACAACAGAACACAAUUGAGACGUAGGAAGACGGAUGAGGAAGAGUGAUGUGUGUCAGCACGGAGAGGCCCUGAAAACAUGGUCGAGCCUCCGAAAAAAGAAGAGAGAUCAGGGAUCAAACAAGAGCCUCAAGAAUCAAGAGCAAACUAAUACAAGGGCUGUGACUUUUGUCCUCUGAAUUGGUGAGUAUAGCUUUGGGGACUGGAAAUCUGGGAAAUGCUGGGUGGC